AANCCUGGCUCAGGAUGAACGCUAGCGGCAGGCCUAACACAUGCAAGUCGAGGGGCAUCGGGAUUGAAGCUUGCUUCAAUUGCCGGCGACCGGCGCACGGGUGCGUAACGCGUAUGUAACCUACCUAUAACAGGGGCAUAACACUGAGAAAUUGGUACUAAUUCCCCAUAAUAUUCGGAGAGGCAUCUCUCCGGGUUGAAAACUCCGGUGGUUAUAGAUGGACAUGCGUUGUAUUAGCUAGUUGGUG
rnacentral:rRNA from 1 species